GAUGUUGUGCCAGAUAAUUGGGCUUCUUUGAUGUGGAAGAGAAUGUAGGUUGGUCCUGCCAACAUCA
rnacentral:tRNA from 1 species